UACGGAGGGUGCAAGCGUUAUCCGGAUUCACUGGGUUUAAAGGGUGCGUAGGUGGGCAGGUAAGUCAGCGGUGAAAUCCCCGAGCUUAACUUGGGAACUGCCAUUGAUACUAUCUGUCUUGAAUACCUUGGAGGUGAGCGGAAUAUGUCAUGUAGCGGUGAAAUGCUUAGAUAUGACAUAGAACACCAAUUGCGAAGGCAGCUCACUACACGGUCAUUGACACUGAGGCACGAAAGCGUUGGGGAUCAAACAGG
rnacentral:rRNA from 1 species